rnacentral:lncRNA from 1 species
UUUGGGAACAUCCAGAGAAGCGCAGCCUCACCUGGCUCCCACCUCUCCUAUCUGACGACCCCAGUAAUGUCUCAAAGGGAGAGAGGUAAAGGCUACCGUUUUUUUUUUUUUAAACCCUAGCCUAACUGGAAUGGCCUGAGAGAAGGAAUUCUUGACACUUGCUGUUCCCUCAGCCCCUGGAAUGACCCAAGCCCAGGCCCGGGAGCAUAAGGGCAGGACAGAUACGUGGAGUUAAGUGGAUUUGGAAUACGUGGGGCUGCGAGACCAGACUACUGGGUUCUUGUGGAUCAGCUCCUGAUUCUCUGGAACACAGAUUACACUUGAAGCCGAGGGCUGUGGAUGCUUUGAGUUUCACCAUCCACAAUUCAGCAACCCAGGUGGAGAUGAAUUAUCUAUACCCAUUUGACUUCUGGGAUUCCUGGAUUGUUUUACACAUUGGGUUGGUUCCCUUGACCCUGGUCAUGCAUCUCCACCAGCCCUAUUUAUUGAGAUUUAGUUCCUGCACUGGACAAGGAAGUUAGUGCCCAGUUGUUGAGCUCAACUUUAUCUCUGCUCCCUGAGUGACUAGGCAAAUCCUCUUGAGUCUAUUUGUCCAUCAAUGAUAUGGGGGAAAUCCUCCCUUCCCUGAGGACACAGAGCCCUGAGGAGUUUUUUGCCUUUGAUUUACCAACUGAAAAGAUUUUUAUAAAGAGAUUUUAUAAAAAGAUUUUUAUAAAGAGGAAACAUCAUCAGACUCUCACAAGCAUUUGCCAUCAUUAAAUAAGUUCCCAAGAGGAACCGAGUGACCCAUUUGGCUGCACCAGGUAAAGCAAGAGUGAACAUCUUGAGAAAUCUGAGUACCUCGUGCCCUUCCAGUACUGCUCAGGUUCCAGUCCAGGUGAGGAGCUAUACCCAAGGGACAAGGGGUAGCAAAUUCCUCCGGCUCCAGUGAGAUAUGCCCUCCAUUCCCCCUGAAGAGUGAAGUUACGGCAAAAGCAAGGGAGAGAGCCAGCAAGACGGCUGCUUACAUUUUCACCCCCCCCGCCCAGCCCAGCCCAGCCCAGCGAGUCCUGCAGCUGCUGCUCUUUUGCUAGUGCUCUGACAGUCCCACUGUCAUUGCCAUGAGGUCUGGGCUUGAACUCGAGUUAAGAAGGCCACACAUGGAGAAAGAGGGAAG